rnacentral:lncRNA from 1 species
GGGAUAGUCGGUCGGAGAAUCCGACCGAUGAAUCUCCUUUGGAUUAGGAAGUGGAAGCUUCUUCUCUAUCCGGACAUAAUGUUGAACGGCUCCGGAAGCAAUAUCGUAUCCCGAAGCAGUAUCAGCUUUUCACUUCUGGCUCCGAUGGUCGGGUGAACUCUCCUCCUCUGGGCUAGAUUUCUUUCUAUGUCAAAGACCUCCAGACCGGUCUUCGAUUUUUGAUUCCAAAUUUAUCCAAAAUUUGCUUG